rnacentral:rRNA from 1 species
AGUGAACGCUGGCGGUAGGCCUAACACAUGCAAGUCGAACGGCAGCACAGUAAGAGCUUGCUCUUACGGGUGGCGAGUGGCGGACGGGUGAGGCAUACAUCGGAAUCUACUUUUUCGUGGGGGAUAACGUAGGGAAACUUACGCUAAUACAGCAUACGACCUACGGGUGAAAGCAGGGGAUAUUCGGACCUUGCGCGAUAGAAUGAGCCGAUGUCGGAUUAGCUAGUUGGCGGGGUAAAGGCACACCAAGGCGACGAUCCGUAGCUGGUCUGAGAGGAUGAUCGGCCACACUGGAACUGAGACACGGUCCAGACUCCUACGGGAGGCAGCAGUAGGGAAUAUUGGACAAUGGGCGCAAGCCUGAUCCAGCAAUACCGCGUGAGUGAAGAAGGCCUUCGGGUUGUAAAGCCCUUUUGUUGGGAAAGAAAAGCAGCAGGUGAAUACCCCGCUGUUCUGACGGUACCCAAAGAAUAAGCACCGGCUAACUUCGUG